GAAUCAGUGGAUGAAAGAUCUUUCUCUCUGUAAAUCCGAUUUUCCAAUAAAAAAUAAAUGAUUUUUUAAAACUGCUUUGCAUAAAGGGAGACACCUAAUGAGCCAUUUGUUUUAAGAUGUUUGUCUGCAGUAAUCCAAAUUUUAUGUCAUCUAAGACCCAUUUUUCAACAUGGUUCACCCCCUUCCUGCAUGUAGGUCCUUAGUGCCUAUCAUGGAGGAAAACAGAGGAAAUAACUCAUUCUGGCAGGAGAUGUGUUUGUUCUGGCAAGGGAGGUGUUUGUUGCACAGAAGUAAGAUGAGGUGGUAAAAGGUUGUUGGUGCUGGGUUCAGGAACGCUGGACUUGGAGGUGGAGGAUCAGACCGGAUGAGGGAGGAAUGAACUUAGAAAUCCUGAUGUGCUCAUCGGCACGAAUAAAUAUGGACUUAUGAAUUACAGAGGCACAUCUGUCAUAAGGAGCAUGGCACCUGUUGGACAAAUAAAAACCUCGAUUUUUUUUAUUAGUAGUAGUAUUCUUAAGAAGUAAUGGAAUAUGACUAAAAUAAGGACUUGAGGCUCACAAAUUUAUCCGCAUAAAAUCCCAGUAGAGAUGACUUUUACCUGAAUGUACAAUAAGAUUUUUAGGGUGUUAUAUGGAGUCUAAUCAUGGUGUGGCAGCUGAUAAAUCUGGACCACUACCACUGCAACUGGGGCAACAAGCCAAAAGCCCUCUCCUCAUGUCCAGAAGUGAGCCCAGGAUAUACACAGAGACCCCUGCUUGCUCCUAAAGUCACCUGUGAACCUUGGUCCCGAAUGUGGCAGAGUCUGUCACUGAGAUCUGAACUAUAAGCCAGCCUUGAUUUACUGUUUCCAGAAUUCAUACUACAUAAAAUAAAAUGUCACAGCUGAAAAUUUAACUUAACCUUGUUCCAGGCUGAUUUCCUGUCCCUGAGCACCUGAUAGAAGGAAAUACAAAUCACCUCUAAAGGAACAAGGUUUAGUUUAGGCCUCAAAAAUUCUCAGACUAUCAAAGACAAAACAUAAACAGCUUCACAAUCAGAAGUAACCAAAGAUACUAUAAAACCAGAAGGAAUAAAUGAGAGCAAUGGGCACAUGGCAACAAAAAGAGUUAAACAAAACAAAACAGAAAAAUGAAUACAAACUUCCAAUGGCUCACUUCAGCCUCUUAGAGGCUUUUCAAAACAUGCUGAGAAACUAAAAAUACAAAUGAGCACACAGCUCUGACAAAAGAACCAAAUAGAAAUUCUAGAAAAUAAAUAUUCAUAUAGAAUGACAAUGCAAAAUUAAAAGUAGAAGCUUACUGUCUGGGUUGAACAGUGAAGUUGGACUCAGAAGAAAAAUUAAUUGUGAAAACUUGUUUUAACUAGUUAUGACAAUGCACAGAGAUAAAUGUACAGGUAAGUUUAAGAGAGCUGGCCUUGAUAGUAAAAUAAUCUGAUGUGCAUGUAAUAGUAUGAGAAAAGAAAGAAUGAUGCAGAUGUGAGAUUUUAAAAAUAACAGAAUUUUCUAGAUCUGAUGGAUUUACUCAUAAUUAAAAAUAAGUUUUAAAAAAUGACAAAACAAAAAGGAGGCUAUCAUGUAGCUCUGAAUUAAGCUAUAAAUCUCCUUAAAAUUAAGUAACUUUUGCCAAGUCAUGCUUUCUGUUCCAUGACAGAUGGGGCCUGAUUGAAGCACUGUUUGAAACUCUGAGUGUGGGAGGAGAAUUGGAUAUUUCUUUAUUUAUCUGCCUUCACCAAUUUUUUAAAAUCCUAAUAAGCUUCAUUAGAAAAUUGGAAGUGUUUACUAUUAUUCCCAGUAACUAUUAGUUGCUUUUAUCAUCUUUUGUUAGCUACAAUCACAAACACAUCAGAUAGACACAUCAUAUCAGAUAGACAUGGUAUCAAGCACCAUUAUCUUGUUCCUUCUUUUCAUAGAAAUGGCUUUGCUAGUUUAUGAUUUAUAAAUAUGUGUGAAUAGCUUUUUAUUGUAUCCAUAUAAUGUCUUUGUAAUUGUCUAAUAAGUUCUUAUUAGGAAUGACUUAAGAAGUCCAGUUUUUGGAAUCUGGUGAAAAUCAUCUGAUUUUCUCCUUUAAUAUGUUACGAGAAAGUCUCAAUAGAUUUCCUAGUGCUGGUUGCCUUCCUAGGCCACCACAGACAGUCAUAUUGUAUUACUAUUUUUAUGAUUGGAGAAAUGUUGUUAAUAUUUCACAAGAUUUUUUUUUUCCAUGAAUAAAAGCCAGUUCCGUGAGUUUCUGUUUUGGGUUUACCUUUAUCCACUUUUUUUUUUUUUCAUUAGUAGUAGCUUCAUAAACUCUAGCAUGGUUGUGAGUCUCUGUUUAAUAAUCACAAAAGUGAGCAGUAUAAAUCAGUGAAUAUUUAAUAUCUCAUUGAGUUUGUGUGCCAGGAAUCUAGAAAUGGCUGAGGGGAUUGGUUAUGGACAAAACCAUCCCUGCAGGUGGAAGUAAGACCAAGGCACAUUCUGCAGUCUUCCAGUCCUUGACUGUAGCUGGAAGAACCCCUCUCAAGACCAAACCCUGGCAAAUGGGCACGUUUAAGCUGGCUGCUUUCUGGAGACCUCUGUCUGGGAAGAUCAUCUUCAAACAUAGCAGCUGGUAUUCCCUAGAAAAAGAAAUCAGAGUGGAAGAAAGAAGCCACCCAGGCCUUUUGUGACCAUAGUUUGGAAGACUUACCUACUCCUUUCGCCACAUUCUAUUACGAAUGCUCAGGUGUAGACGGAGAACUGAACAAAUUGAUCAAGUACCCCAGCCACAUGUUGGCAGUGAAAAUCUGGGCAAACGAAGACUUUAAGGUGGAUUA